GACGAACGCUGGCGGCGUGCCUAAUACAUGCAAGUAGAACGCUGAAGCGAGGAGCUUGCUCUUCUUGGAUGAGUUGCGAACGGGUGAGUAACGCGUAGGUAACCUGCCUGGUAGCGGGGGAUAACUAUUGGAAACGAUAGCUAAUACCGCAUAAAAUGGAUUAUCGCAUGAUAAUCCAUUGAAAGGUGCAAAUGCAUCACUACCAGAUGGACCUGCGUUGUAUUAGCUAGUUGGUGGGGUAACGGCUCACCAAGGCGACGAUACAUAGCCGACCUGAGAGGGUGAUCGGCCACACUGGGACUGAGACACGGCCCAGACUCCUACGGGAGGCAGCAGUAGGGAAUCUUCGGCAAUGGACGGAAGUCUGACCGAGCAACGCCACGUGAGUGAAGAAGGUUUUCGGAUCGUAAAGCUCUGUUGUAAGAGAAGAACGAGUGUGAGAGUGGAAAGUUCACACUGUGACGGUAUCUUACCAGAAAGGGACGGCUAACUACGUG
rnacentral:rRNA from 1 species